GAGCUGACAAUACAUUAGACUACAGUGUAGGUGUGAGCUGACAAUACAUUAGACUACAGUGUAGGUGUGAGCUGACAAUACAUUAGACUACAGUGUAGGUGUGAGUGGACAAUACAUUAGACUACAGUGUAGGUGAGAGCUGACAAUACAUUAGACUACAGUGUAGGUGUGAGCUGACAAUACAUUAGACUACAGUGUAGGUGUGAGCUGACAAUACAUUAGACUACAGUGUAGGUGUGAGCUGACAAUACAUUAGACUACAGUGUAGGUGUGAGCAGGCAGGAGAGUACACCCAUGAUAACUGUGAGGCCUGAGUGUAGGUGUGUA